rnacentral:rRNA from 1 species
GAUAAACGCUGGCGGCGUGCAUAACACAUGCAAGUCGAACGAAGUGGCGAACGGGUGAGUAACACGUGAGUAACCUGCCUUACACAAGGGGAGAGCCUUUGGAAACGAAGAAUAAUACCCUAUAGUGUAAGAUGGACUCGCGUCUGAUUAGCAAGUUGGUGAGAUAAAAGCCCACCAAGGCGACGAUCAGUAGCCGUCUUGAGGGAGUGUACGGCCACCUUGGGACUGAGACACGGCCCAACCUCCUCCGGGAGGAAGUAGUGGGGAAUUUUGAACAAUGGGGGAAACCCUGAUGCAGCGACGCCGCGUGAUUUAGAAGGCCUUCGGGUUGUAAAGUACUUUCAGUCGGGAGGCGUUACCGACAGAAGAAGCACCGGCUAACUCCGUGCCAGCAGCCGCGGUAAUUC